UCCCUACGGGGGGCAGCAGUCGGGAAUAUUGCACAAUGGAGGAAACUCUGAUGCAGUGACACCGCGUAUAGGAAGAAGGUUUUCGGAUUGUAAACUAUUUUAGACAGGGAAGAAAAAAGACAGUACCUGUAGAAUAAGCUCCGGCUAACUACGUGCCAGCAGCCGCGGUAAUACGUAGGGGGCGAGCGUUAUCCGGAUUCACUGGGUGUAAAGGGAGCGUAGACGGCCAUGCAAGCCAGGGGUGAAAGCCCGGGGCCCAACCCCGGGACUGCCCUUGGAACUGCAUGGCUGGAGUGCGGGAGGGG
rnacentral:rRNA from 1 species